GAGCAUAGCAGCAGGCACGGAAGGCAGUCAUGGCGCUGGAGGAGGACUUGAGAGCUACAUUCUGACCUGCAGUCAGAAAGUGAGAGACACUGGACAUGGUGUGGGCCUUUGAAACCUCAAAGCUCACCCCCAAUAGCACAUUUCCUCCAACAAGGCCAUACCUCUUAAUCCUUUUUAAAUAGUGCCAUUCCCCAAUAACUAAGCAUUAAAAUAAAUUAGCCUAUGGAAGUCAUACAAACAACCAUAGAAUUUAUAAACAAACACAUCAUAAGGAAAUGAAAAAUGAAUAAAAAUUUAAAGCAAAGCAUGAUUCAUGAAGUCUGUUUUUAUCUUUGCUCUAAUUGUGCCUGUUAGUUUAUGUUAAGGCCUCUUGGAACUAAUUAGCUGAGGACUUGUGAUGUCAUCAAGAGUGGGCUGAUACCAUUGGUUGUCCAGGGGAAAGUAUAAUACUUGUCAAAUAACUUCAUGCCUCUGAGUAUAUUCUGCUGGACCAAAGAAGUCAAGUCAAAUUAUGUGUAAAACAUUAUAAAACAAAAGCAAAUUGGUGGCAGUUCCUGCUUUUACUAUCCUGGCUUUAGUUUGGAUUUUUGAAAUUAUGAGGGCAUGUAAGAGAAGAGGCACCAACCGUCGCUGUGCCUGAGACUGCUGCUUCUAAAUCAUUCCUUUUCAACUUACUAAUUCUAGAAGGUUGUAGCGUUUAGUCUUUUGCUUGUAAUAAAUCAAUGCCAGGCAUGGUGGCACAUGCCCUUAAUCUUAGAACUCAGGAGGCACAGGCAGAUGGAUCUCUGAGUUUAAGACUAGCCUAAUUUACAGAGAGUUCUAGGAAAGACAGGGCUACACAGAAAAGCCCUGUCUUGAAAAACAAAACACAAUAAACAAAACAAAAAUCCUGCAAAACAACAACAAGAAAGGAAGGAAGGGAGGAAGGGAAGGUUGAUUGGUUUAGAAGAUAAGUCAUUUGCCAAGGACUAUGCAAAUCAAAUUGUAUGUGGCUGGGUGCUAUUGGAAGUUAGAUGCUUCUGUAGAUAUCCUCUGAUAUUAUUUUAUUGUCUCUUUAAUAAUUCUGCAUCAAAUAUUAUUCAUAUGCACAUAGAAACUUCUAGAAAUAACAAGACCUAUUUUCUACCCGAGCUCUAUAGCACCU
rnacentral:lncRNA from 1 species